rnacentral:rRNA from 1 species
AUGAGCUCCUCGGUCCAGCACGAGCGGUUGUACCGGCUUCUGGUGAGCAGCAUGCUCCCCAUCGUGGCAGUGCCCCUCAUGCUCAAGGCGGGGGAGCUCCGGCCCGUGCACGUGUUCCUGGCCGCGUUCGUCCCGGCCGCGCUGGCCGCCGUCUACCUCAGGCUCCGCCCGCGCGCCGUGUACAUGGUGGACUACGCGUGCUUCUGCCCCAGCCCUGGCCUCCGCGUCCCGUUCGCCGCGUUCCAGGAGCACGCCAGCACGUGCGUCGACGAGCGCAGCCUCCGGUUCAUGGUGCGGCUGCUCGAGCGCUCCGGUCUCGGGGAGGAGACCUGCCUCCCCGAUGCGCAGCACUACAUCCCGCCGGAACGCGAUCUCGGGUCCUCCCGCGACGAGGCCGAGCUCGUCGUCUUCUCCGCCAUCGACGACCUGCUCGCCAAGACCAAGGUCUCCGGGGAGGACAUCGACAUCCUCGUCGUCAACUGCAGCCUCUUCGCCCCGACGCCGUCUUUCGCCGACAUGGUCGUCAGCCGGUACAAGCUCCGCGAGGACGUGCGCAGCGUGCACCUUGCCGGGAUGGGCUGCAGCGCGGGGCUCAUCUCCGUGGAGCUCGCCAGGAACCUGCUCCAGGUCGCGCCUGGGGGCUCCAACGCGCUGGUUGUGUCCACGGAGACCAUCACGCCCAACUACUACACGGGCAAGGAGCGCGCCAUGCUCCUUCCCAACUGCCUGUUCCGGAUGGGCGGCGCCGCUGUGCUCCUGUCCACCCGCGGCCGCAACGCGCGGUUUCGGCUCGCGCACGUGGUGCGGACGCUGACCGGUGCCAAGGACAGUGCGUACCGAUGCGUGUACCAGGAGGAGGACGACCGCGGCAACGUCGGGAUCAACCUGUCCAAGGACCUGAUGGUCACCGCCGGCGACGCGCUCACGGCGAACAUCACGGCCAUGGGGCCCCUGGUCCUGCCGGCGUCGGAGCAGCUGCUAUUCGCGCUGUCCUUCGUGGCGCGCAAGGUGGUCGGCAGCAGCAGGAUCAAGCCGUACAUCCCCGACUUCCGCACGGCGUUCGAGCACUUCUACAUCCACGCGGGCGGGCGCGCGGUGAUCGACGAGCUCCAGCGCAGCCUCAGGCUGUCGGACGAGCAGGUGGAGGCGUCGAGGAUGACGCUGCACCGGUUCGGCAACACGUCGAGCAGCUCGCUGUGGUACGAGCUCGCCUACAUCGAGGCAAAGGGGCGCAUGCGCAAGGGCGACCGCGUGUGGAUGAUCGGCAUCGGCUCCGGGUUCAAGUGCAACAGCGCCGCCUGGGAGUGCAUACACCCGGCGCCCGUGGCGGCCGACGGGCCCUGGGCCACCUGCGUCCAUCGGUACCCCAUCGACGUCCCCGACGUGCUCAAGCAUUAG